UACGUAGGGUGCAAGCGUUGUCCGGAAUUAUUGGGCGUAAAGAGCUCGUAGGCGGUUUGUCGCGUCGGCUGUGAAAACCUGGGGCUUAACUCCGGGCCUGCAGCCGAUACGGGCAGACUAGAGUUCGGCAGGGGAGACUGGAAUUCCUGGUGUAGCGGUGAAAUGCGCAGAUAUCAGGAGGAACACCGGUGGCGAAGGCGGGUCUCUGGGCCGAUACUGACGCUGAUGCACGAAAGCUAGGGGAGCAAACAGG
rnacentral:rRNA from 1 species